UCGAUACAAUGAUGACUGCAUAGUUCAGCAGAUUAUUCCAUGAAGAUUACAUUCUUGUCUUUCGCUCCUAGCUGAUGUAUCGA
ensembl:snoRNA